rnacentral:rRNA from 1 species
AGUGAACGCUGGCGGUAGGCCUAACACAUGCAAGUCGAACGGCAGCACAGUAAGAGCUUGCUCUUACGGGUGGCGAGUGGCGGACGGGUGAGGUAUACAUCGGAAUCUACUUUUUCGUGGGGGAUAACGUAGGGAAACUUACGCUAAUACAGCAUACGACCUACGGUUGAAAGCAGGGGAUCUUCUGACCUUGCGCGAUUGAAUUAGCCGAUGUCGGAUUAGCUAGUUGGCGGGGUAAUGGCCCACCAAGGCGACGAUCCGUAGCUGGUCUGAGAGGAUGAUCAGCCACACUGGAACUGAGACACGGUCCAGACUCCUACGGGAGGCAGCAGUGGGGAAUAUUGGACAACGGGCGCAAGCCUGAUCCAGCCAUACCGCGUGGGUGAAGAAGGCCUUCGGGUUGUAAAGCCCUUUUGUUGGGAAAGAAAAGCAGCAGGUUAAUACCCCGCGGUUCUGACGGUACCCAAAGAAGAAGCACCGGCUAACUUCGUG